AGUAAAGGAUGGUUUCCAAUAUCAGUUCUAACUCAAAGCUCCCCUUAAGUAAAAAUACCCUGGUCUCAUUUAGGAAGGUGAAGCUGCUUUCUAACGAGUAAACUCACCAACCUCUGCUCUAUGUGCCCUUGCAUCGGGUAGCAGCCUGUUUUCCUCAUUGCAUAAUGGCAGUAGAAAUUCAUCUUCUUCAUUGCAUAACAAUUCCCUCUGCCUGCUGGCUGGCUUCACUUACUCUGCUUGCUCAGUUGACUGUUCUUCCUGGUGCUCUCAAGUCUGACUGCUUGCCUCCAAGGAUCUCUCAGGAGCUGGCUCCAGUCAUAAUCGCACCCAGAUUCCUAGGCCUCCAUGGCAUUUAAGAAGUGAUCCACGAGGACCCUCUCACAGUUACUACUGUUGAGUCAGAAAAAGAAAUUCUUCAAAAUUCAGUGAUCACUUCCAACUGACUUCACAACACUGAAAGAAAGGCAUUAAGGACAAAUGUGCUGGCAGACAUUUGCAAAUAAUCAAAGCAAAACUUUAGAAAAGCCAAGCAUUAUCUCAUAACUGAGAACUUCUCAUCCCUUGAUUGGAAAACUCUGUUCACUGGCUGCAAUACUGCCGAAGACCAUUAUAUUUUUUUGCACAAAGUCAACAGAACCAUCAAAUUAUAAGUACUACUAAUAAACACCAAAAGGGUGUUGGUCUUACCUGAUAUGCUGCUGAGAAUUUGACACGUCUGCCCUUUGAAUAACCUUUGAGAUCAUAUUAGAAGCAACUGUGUUCUCUUCACUGAUGAUGUAAAACUAUUCAACACUACCGACAAUGCUGCUAUCCUACCAAAGACCUUGACUAUGUGUCAGAAUGAUCAAACAAUUGGCAAUUCCAAAUCUCAACCAACAAAUGCUGUCUUACACAUUGACCAAAAAAAAACCAACAAAAAAACAUCCAGAACACAAAAUACAAGCUGGGCGGAUAUGACCUUGUAGACGACUCCCACUCUGUCAAGGAACUUGGAGUACUCAUCUCAAAUGAUCUAAGUGCCAGAUCUCACUGGAACAGCAUUGCCAAAAAGGCAUUAAGAGUUGUUAACCUAAUCUUGCUUCUUCUUUGGUAAUAUUGAACUGCAAACUAAGGUAUACAAAACUUUUGCAGGACCAAUUCUUGAAUACAGCUCAUCUGUCUGGAAUCCACACUGCAUAUCAGAUAUUAAUACAUCUAA